rnacentral:rRNA from 1 species
GCAUUGGGGGGGUGCCUAAUACAUGCAGUCGAACGCGUUGGCCCAAUUGAUUGAUGGUGCUUGCACCUGAUUGAUUUUGGUCGCCAACGAGUGGCGGACGGGUGAGUAACACGUAGGUAACCUGCCCAGAAGCGGGGGACAACAUUUGGAAACAGAUGCUAAUACCGCAUAACAGCGUUGUUCGCAUGAACAACGCUUAAAAGAUGGCUUCUCGCUAUCACUUCUGGAUGGACCUGCGGUGCAUUAGCUUGUUGGUGGGGUAAUGGCCUACCAAGGCGAUGAUGCAUAGCCGAGUUGAGAGACUGAUCGGCCACAAUGGGACUGAGACACGGCCCAUACUCCUACGGGAGGCAGCAGUAGGGAAUCUUCCACAAUGGGCGCAAGCCUGAUGGAGCAACACCGCGUGAGUGAAGAAGGGUUUCGGCUCGUAAAGCUCUGUUGUUAAAGAAGAACACGUAUGAGAGUAACUGUUCAUACGUUGACGGUAUUUAACCAGAAAGUCACGGCUAACUACGUGCCAGCAGCCGCGGUAAUACGUAGGUGGCAAGCGUUAUCCGGAUUUAUUGGGCGUAAAGAGAGUGCAGGCGGUUUUCUAAGUCUGAUGUGAAAGCCUUCGGCUUAACCGGAGAAGUGCAUCGGAAACUGGAUAACUUGAGUGCAGAAGAGGGUAGUGGAACUCCAUGUGUAGCGGUGGAAUGCGUAGAUAUAUGGAAGAACACCAGUGGCGAAGGCGGCUACCUGGUCUGCAACUGACGCUGAGACUCGAAAGCAUGGGUAGCGAACAGGAUUAGAUACCCUGGUAGUCCAUGCCGUAAACGAUGAGUGCUAGGUGUUGGAGGGUUUCCGCCCUUCAGUGCCGGAGCUAACGCAUUAAGCACUCCGCCUGGGGAGUACGACCGCAAGGUUGAAACUCAAAGGAAUUGACGGGGGCCCGCACAAGCGGUGGAGCAUGUGGUUUAAUUCGAAGCUACGCGAAGAACCUUACCAGGUCUUGACAUCUUGCGCCAACCCUAGAGAUAGGGCGUUUCCUUCGGGAACGCAAUGACAGGUGGUGCAUGGUCGUCGUCAGCUCGUGUCGUGAGAUGUUGGGUUAAGUCCCGCAACGAGCGCAACCCUUGUUACUAGUUGCCAGCAUUAAGUUGGGCACUCUAGUGAGACUGCCGGUGACAAACCGGAGGAAGGUGGGGACGACGUCAGAUCAUCAUGCCCCUUAUGACCUGGGCUACACACGUGCUACAAUGGACGGUACAACGAGUCGCGAACUCGCGAGGGCAAGCAAAUCUCUUAAAACCGUUCUCAGUUCGGACUGCAGGCUGCAACUCGCCUGCACGAAGUCGGAAUCGCUAGUAAUCGCGGAUCAGCAUGCCGCGGUGAAUACGUUCCCGGGCCUUGUACACACCGCCCGUCACACCAUGAGAGUUUGUAACACCCAAAGUCGGUGGGGUAACCUUUUAGGAGCCAGCCGCCUAAGGGGAACAGGAUG